rnacentral:rRNA from 1 species
UAAUACGGAGGGUGCAAGCGUUAAUCGGAAUUACUGGGCGUAAAGGGUGCGUAGAUGGUUUAAUAAGUUAAGUGUGAAAGCCCCGGGCUUAACCUGGGAAAGUCACUUAAGACUGUUAGACUAGAGUAUGGGAGAGGGUAGUGGAAUUUCCGGUGUAGCGGUGAAAUGCGUAGAGAUCGGAAGGAACACCAGUGGCGAAGGCGGCUACCUGGCCCAAUACUGACGUUGAGGCACGAAAGCGUGGGGAGCAAACAGG